rnacentral:rRNA from 1 species
CCUACGGGUGGCUGCAGUGAGGAAUAUUGGUCAAUGGACGAGAGUCUGAACCAGCCAAGUAGCGUGAAGGAUGUCUGCCCUAUGGGUUGUAAACUUCUUUUAUAUGGGAAUAAAAUGUUCCACGUGUGGGAUUUUGUAUGUACCAUAUGAAUAAGGAUCGGCUAACUUCGUGCCAGCAGCCGCGGUAAUACGGAGGAUCUGAGCGUUAUCCGGAUUUAUUGGGUUUAAAGGGAGCGUAGGUGGAUUGUUAAGUCAGUUGUGAAAGUUUGCGGCUCAACCGUAAAAUUGCAGUUGAAACUGGCAGUCUUGAGUACAGUAGAGGUGGGCGGAAUUCGUGGUGUAGCGGUGAAAUGCUUAGAUAUCACGAAGAACUCCGAUUGCGAAGGCAGUUCACUGGACUGCAACUGACACUGAGGCUCGAAAGUGUGGGUAUCAAACAGGAUUAGAUACCCGGGUAGUC